rnacentral:rRNA from 1 species
GAUGAACGCUGGCGGCGUGCCUAAUACAUGCCAGUCGAGCGAACAGACGAGGAUCUUGCUCCUCUGACGUUAGCGGCGGACGUGUGAGUAACACGUGGAUAACCUACCUAUAAGACUUGGAUAACUUCGGGAAACCGGAGCUAAUACCGGAUAAUAUAUUGAACCGCAUGGUUCAAUAGUGAAAGACGGUUUUGCUGUCACUUAUAGAUUGAUCCGCGCCGCAUUAGCUAGUUGGUAAGGUAACGGCUUACCAAGGCGACGAUGCGUAGCCGACCUGAGAGGGUGAUCGGCCACACUGGAACUGAGACACGGUCCAGACUCCUACGGGAGGCAGCAGUAGGGAAUCUUCCGCAAUGGGCGAAAGCCUGACGGAGCAACGCCGCGUGAGUGAUGAAGGUCUUCGGAUCGUAAAACUCUGUUAUUAGGGAAGAAAAAAUGUGUAAGUAACUAUGCACGUCUUGACGGUACCUAAUCAGAAAGCCACGGCUAACUACGUG